GGAUGUGAGGGCGAUCUGGCUGCGACAUCUGUCACCCCAUUGAUCACCAGGGUUGAUUCGGCUGAUCUGGCUGGCUAGGCAGGUGUCCCCUUCCUCCCUCACCGCUCCAUGUGCGUCCCUCCCAAAGCUGUACAUUCGGUCAAGGAGGACAACCUUCCCCAAUAGAGGAGGACCAUUCUUUGGUCAAGGACAUAUGAGUAGCUGCGCUCCCCUGCUAGAACCUCCAAACAAGCUCUCAAGACUAGCAUCCUCCUACACAGUUUUGGUGUUACUUAAUGUUAAGAAACUAUAAACUCAUUCAAUAAAAUU
rnacentral:snRNA from 1 species